GAUAUCAAAAACUAAAAGCAAAAUCUAACGAUUUCGCUCCUAGUUAUGCUAACCAAGCGUAUUUAUACGCUUACGCAGCUUAACAGGCGUCCUGAAGUUUGAUUCUCGAUCGAACCGACUGGGUGUAAACCAAUUCGAGAUGCUACUUAUUUUCUUUUGAUUUAGAGGAAAUUAGUAAAAGACAAUUAAAUCUUACCUAUAAAUUCCUGUCGAUUGGAUAAACUUAUAGGGAAAUAUUAUUAAUCGAAUAAGCUUGUAGAAGUUUUGUUUUUAAGUUUUUCGGAUGUGGGUUCGAUUCCCACCAUCUCCACAA
rnacentral:tmRNA from 1 species